UACCAGCACCCCGAGUGGUCGGGACGUUUAUUGGGCCUAAAGCAUCCGUAGCCGGUUCUACAAGUCUUCCGUUAAAUCCAACUGCUUAACAGGUGGGCUGCGGAAGAUACUAUAGAGCUAGGAGGCGGGAGAGGCAAGCGGUACUCGAUGGGUAGGGGUAAAAUCCGUUGAUCCAUUGAAGACCACCAGUGGCGAAGGCGGCUUGCCAGAACGCGCUCGACGGUGAGGGAUGAAGCGGGGGA
rnacentral:rRNA from 1 species